rnacentral:lncRNA from 1 species
AAGAACUCCAUGACGAACACGGCCAUGUACACAUAUGUGUGAUUCGAAAACGAAGGCGCAUCUCGGGAGUUCGUAUUCGGUGGCGUCACAUUCGUUGGAUUUUUCGUCGAAUCAACAGAAAGGAAACCAUGGCUCCAUGAAAACAAUGAGAGAAACACAUAUGCAUAAAAAGAACUCACCGGAGUAGGAUCGUGAUGUAGUGGCUUAAUAGAAAGGACGUCGAUAGUUGGAGUUCAUAGCUUCCCUCUUCUUCCUCGCGUAAGUUCUAUCUUCUUAUUCGUUCUUCUAUCCCUGAGUUUUUGCUUCAGUACAUGGCUGUUAUGUGCAGAAUCUCCAAAGAUAAGUGAUGUUGUGCAGAGUGUGAAAAUGAUGAUGAUGGAGAUGCAUAGGAUUUUAGGGAUUGGAGAGAGAUGACUGAAUUUGAAGAUUGAAGGAUUCAAGCUCGUGAAUCUCAUAUGUAGAUUGAUCCAAGCUCGUGAAUCUCAAAUGCAGAUUGAUCCAAGCUCGUGAAUCUCAUAUGUAGAUUGAAGGAUCCCAUUGCAGAGUGAAGGAUUCCGUUGCAAAGUGAAGGAUUUUGUUGGAGAGUAGGAUUUUAGUUGAAGAAUGAAGGUGAGUCCCUCUUAUACUUCUCUGAUCUUUCUUAUUAUGUUACUUUCUUCACCUCUUCUGUUAUAGUUGUUAGGCUGGUUCAGUUAGGCUGUUAGAAGUGGUUCAGAAGUUAGUUAGAGCUAACAGAGAUUAACUCUGUUAGUAUGAAUCAGAGCCAAAACAAUUUUAGUUACUCUGUUGGCUUAGGGAGUUGUGAAAGUUUGUUAGCUGGAAUUGGGAGAAAAAGUUGAUUAAAACGGAAACUCCAUGGCCAUGGUUAAAAGUAUAAACAAAGCUUGUUUGCACAUGAAGUAACUUUGGAUGGAACAUGAAAAAAAAUGGAGAAUAAAGCAUGAAGAGUGAGGAUUAUAAGGUUUAGGGUUUUAGGGAAAGUGUGUUGACUUUGGUCAAAGUUGACCAAAAAGUCAACUAUUGACCAAAGUCAACCUUUGGUCAAAUUUAUGUUUUUUUGUAACUUUUGUAUGGGUGAUGUAAACGAUAUUGUAUGGAUUUAACGGGCCUUUGUGAAUGAAACUAGUUCUUUGGAUUUAAUGAAAUAAAUUUCUCAUUUUCAAGUUGUGAUUUUCUUCUCCAAAAAAAUACUUAAGACAUAGCUUUGAGUCAUGCAUUAUGGACAUGAAUGAAUGGACUAGGAAUGCACCAUACAUAAAGAAUCAAUGGAUUAGAAAUGUGUUAUGAAACAUGAGCCAAUGAAUGCAUUGUGAUAAAAGAAUUAAUAAAAUCCAUGAACUUGCACCAUGAAACAAUAUGAAACAUGGAGGCAUGGAUUAGGAAUGCAUCAUGAAUAACAUGAAUGGAAUAAAGCCUAUGACCAAAUGGAUCAUCAAACAAAAAGCCAUGUGACAAUCCAUAAUUAAGGUAUGAUUAAUAGAAAUAACAUGAAUCAAACCACAUGGACCAAAUAGUCCCCUUUCCAAAACUAGGGUUUCAUGGCACAUCAUAUGAUCUAGGUCUCUUAACCAAACACGAGGCUUCACAGACAAACUCAUAACCCAUGGGCCCAUGAUUAGGGCUUAGAUAAUCUAACCAACACUCACGAGCCAAUCACAAGAUCCUAAAGUGACAUAAUCAAGACUUGGAGUUUCACAUUCCCUAUGAACAAAUGAGUAUCCAAGCCAUACCUUUGAGGUUUGAUCCAUAUAGAAACCUUAGCUUUGCAAGCCAAAAGAUUUGAAUCUAUAGUGAUCAACUAAUGGAUGAAUGAUUGGUACAUAUGAAUGAAACAUGUAUCCAAAUAUUCUCAAGCCAAGAUUUGAAUGAAAAUGUGAAAAUGGGAGGGCAAAUUUUGGGGUACAACAAAGUGUACCGAUAAUGUCGAAGUAAUAAAAAGACCGAAUCAAUAGGGACUACCUCCAAGUAAGAAAAAAUGUGUGCAACGUAUAAAAACUAGUAAAGGGGGGGGGGGUCGAGUUUUAGUGCAAUCAAUAGGGACUACCUCCAAGUAAGAAAAAAUGUGUGCAACGUAUAAAAACUAGUAAAGGGGGGGGGGGUCGAGUUUUAGUGCAAAAAUUAAAUAAACGAGUAAACAGAGUCAAGAAAGCGGUCAGGUUGUGUUUUAGAAUCUCUAAUUCCUCUAUUGUUGAUGUUUGAUGCCUUGUAUAAAUGAUCUUAUCACUAUAACCCCACGGAAAAUUAACAAAAUCGUUAUAGAAGAUCCCUCAUGAAAUAUCUCACUAACCAUUACUUGAAGCUUUCUAUCCCUAGUCCGCCAACGUAAGCAGGGUUAGGCGAUGUAUAGAACAUUAAUUCCCUAUGCCACUACUCGGGGUCAUCUAUUCUUAUUCAACUAGCGUAAGUACAACAAUGACCCUAGGUCCAACACAUAGACUAAUGGUCAGUAUUCUCUAUGUGCCCAAGAUAAGAUUUAAAGAUUAUCUCACAUAAAAAGCAUUAAGAACAAUAAGCAAUUGAAUGACAUUAUAGAUCAAAAGGUUUAUACAAAGUCAAAUCAACAUAAAAUCCAACAAUAGUGAAAUAGGUUCAUCAUAAUACAACCUAACCUAGAGGAGCUUAGUUACUCAUAGUGCAAUUAAUAAUACCAUAAUUGAUAGAUAAAGAUAACAUAUGUAAUCCCUUGAAGUGAUAGCCUCCAAUGGCUUCAAAUGCUUUAAAAAUCACCACUCGUGCUCUCAAAAUUGUGCUUUACUCUCUCCAAAUUGUAACCCUUGUGAAAGUGCAUAAAAUCCCCUUUUAUUGGCAUCAGAAUGGACCAGAAUGUGUCAUAAAAGCACCAAAAAAGUGAUUAUCACCUGUGUGAUUCCUUGCAUCGUGCGUACGAUGCAGCUUUAAUGACCAUACCACGCACGCGAUGAUGUGUGAUGGUGCAUAUGAUUAUUUCUGAAGCUGCAUCCUUUUUUCCUCAUUUUUCAUUGAAAUUUUAACGAAGUCCUCAAGUUUUACACUUAUAUAUUUUUUCCUUAUUCUUUGGUCAUUCUUCUUCAUUUUAUCUCAACUUUCCCUUGUUUUGCUCCGAUUCUUCGACUAAAUUUAUGCAAUGAAAGACUGUCAACACUUGGUAACUCGCCUGUCUCAUGGCAUAGUUAGAAACAAGCAAGUGUAACAUUAUGCAUGAAAGAGGUAGAAUACAUUGUUGCAGGUAGUUGUUAUGUAUAAAUUAUCUGGAUAAAAAACCAACUAAUUGAUUACAGAGUUGAUCUUGAAGCUAUUCUGAUAAAAUACGACAAGAUUAGCUCCAUAAACCUCACGAAAAAAUUUGGUACUUCACUCUAUGACUGAACACAUUUAGGUUACACACCAUUUCAUUAGAGAUCAUAUCAAAAAAGGGGAUUGUGUAAUUGACCAUGUAUCUUCAUCUAAUCAACUAGAAGAAAUUUUUUCUAAACCUCUUCUUAAGGACAUUUUCUUUUUUAUAAGAACUAAAAUAAGAAUAUUAAAUUAAUCAUGCAUGGAUUAAAAUAUGCUAGAUGUCUAUUCUCCUCACUCUUCUUCUAAUUAUUCCAUUUCUCUAUGUGUUUUAUAUGAUCUAUGUGUUUGCUUUAAUUUAUCUUCCGCCUUUUUUAUUAUGCCAAAGGGGGAAAGUAUAAUAUCAAAGAGAGUGGGGUAUACUCUCUAUAUUUAUAAGAGGGAGUUUAAAAACUCAAAUUAUUCAUCUAUGCUUGUCUAUUUUUCCACCUCCUUGAGAGAUGUGUUGUUACCAUUAGAAAGACGGGAUAAUGUAAAAGUAUAUGCUUGGAUGUACACUUAUCUCUAGAUGAUCUUGGUGGCAGAAUAUCCUAGAGUGCUUUAUAAUGAUAAUACCUAAUGUCGAGCGACUUUCAGUGGAGUCCCUAAGUAUCUCUAAUAAAGAAGCCUCUAAUAAUGAUGUCUAUUAAGAAGAUU